UCAAUAUUUAUUUUGAAUAGUAUUUGACACAGUUACAAAUCAGCACAUUUUUAACACAUUCUAUGCUACAUGCUAUUUAAAAGAGCGCAAUUUAUGGAGUCGUGGUAGGUGAACAUCACAUUCUUUAUGAUAUUUUGUGUAGAGAUGAUGCUGAAAAUGUAUUGAUUUAAGUUGUUGAAAAUAGUAUUUCUUUUUAUUUCUCUUGUUUACUAUUUUAAAAUGAGUGAAAUUAUGCUUAGUAGUUCAUUGAAAUGCAGAAUGCCUGUGGGAAAGGAUUCAACGUGUUUCAGGAAGAUAAAUGCAGAGAAAUAACCUCUGGCAUUAGCAACUAUUCUAGAGGUUUUGAAAGCUCAAAGGCAUCUUAUCUCGACGAGGAUAAAAAAACAACAAAAUCAUCGUGCAAAAAGAAAGGAACAUUGAAGAAGAGACGCAAGCAAAACAAAGAUAAGAAAGUGGAGGUAUCUACCCACGAAACUGCUAGCAUUUACUUAAAUGAAGAUCAUCCGUUUCGUUCUAAUGAGAUGGUUGAAGACUCAAGCCAAGAAAAGGAGUAUUCAAAACACACAGGGAAAGUUUAUAAGAAGAGUCAUAGAUCCGAUAUUCUUCACCUCAGAGAUUGCAUGGCAAGCCGAUUUAGGGAACUCGGUGGAUUAGCUGAUGUGCAUAAACAGCUUCCUGCUAACUCUGUCAAACAAAUCCAAAACCAAGUUAUUGAAGAUACCUCUAUAACACUGGCAGAGUUAUCUCAUGAUAAGUUAAUGGAAGCUGUGGUGAAUGUGAAGAAUAAGUGCCCGAAAAGAACCAAGAAUGUCUCAUUCAAGUCGCCAAAACUGGUCAAGAGAUUGUCUUUGGAUUGUGCUGAAUCAAAAACACCUGAUGCUAAUCUUCCUAUUAAUCCUAUUGAGGAUAAAUCACCAAAUCAUGAACUUGAGAAAGAAAAUUCUAGGCUUCAAUUACUAUCUUGUAAGCAAAAUCAAGGUGACGAUUCUUUUAGGAAACGUUCCAGAGUAUGCCAAAAAAUCCAGAGGGAUGUCGUAAGGAAAGAUAAACAGAGAAAUCUGAAUAUGCAAAAUGUUGAUGAUUUAGCAGCAUUGGCUUCUCACAAAAAGCAACAUUCUUCCACAGAUAAUGUUAUGCAAGAAGACAAUCAGACUUGUAUGAAUCUACAAAAGUGCUGUGUUUCAUCAUUGAGUAAAGAGCUUCCUCACUCAACCAUGAAUGGAGUUUUAAGAAAAUGCAAAAAUAUCCAUUCCCCAAUAAGAUGUGCUUUCUGUCACUCUUCAAAUGAUUUAGAGCUUUCUGGAGAGAUAAUGCACUAUUAUGAUGGUAAAUCUGUUGCUGCAGAUUUUAAUGGAGGCGUCAAUGUAAUUCAUUCUCACAAGAACUGCACAGAAUGGGCUCCUGAUGUGUACUUCAAAGAUGAUUUGGUCAUCAACCUCUCAAGUGAAUUAGGUAGAAAUAGAAGGAUAGCCUGCAGCUGCUGUGGCAUCAAAGGAGCAGCUCUUGGAUGCUUUGAGAAGAGCUGCCGUCGGAGCUUUCACUACCCUUGUGCUAAACAGACUCCAGAAUGCCGCUGGGAUGAUUUGAAUCAAAAUCUGUGUACGUUGGAAAUCUUCCUGCAAGCAUAUCCACUUCUGACCUUGAGCAAGAGUUCAAGAACUUUGGUAGAAUCAAACCUGACAGAGUUACUAUCAGAAGCCGGAAGUUGAGUAGCCCUCCAUCCCAUUCCGUCUUUGUCGUAAAUAAAUUUAAGCUCACAAGAGAUCUUUUGGACGGAGGCGAUUCUUCUCAAUGGAUCCAUUAGCAACACCGAUGGUUCACUUAUAUUGUGAUUGCUGAGUAUGAGAUGGCAAUUAUUAGUUGUCUGCACUUCUUGAUGCCUUCCGAGAGGAUCAGAUUGGGGCAAUUUUUAAUUUUGAAGUAUCUAAGCGCCGCAAGUCUUGAUAUUUCAUCAGCUAGAGGAAGAGUUGCUACAGGAGGUCUUGAAGAAAAAUAUUGUUUUAUUUUUAGCUUGA